GCCGAAGUGGCGGAAUUGGUAGACGCGCGGCGUUCAGGACGCCGUUCCCUUUAUGGGAUUGGAGGUUCGACUCCUCUCUUCGGCACCA
rnacentral:tRNA from 1 species